CUGCAGUGAAAUCCUGCAGUCAUUCACACUGAAAGUUAGUCAGCUUUUCUUUGUUUUCAGUUUGGAACUGUCAUAUCCAAGAGGAAAAAAAGGAAGGAUUUGACUAUAUUUAUCCCACAUUUUCUGGGUAGCUGGAGAGUGGUGGAUGGUCUGGGUAAGCAGGUCCUGCAUGGGCAUAAAUUGCCAUUUUAUUUUCCAUAAUUGGAAAUAAAUGUUGUAGGAGUCCAGCCCAGCCAAAAUGCAAGAUGUAGGUCUCGAGAUGGAACUGUUUCCCUCUUGAGUGCUUACUUUAGGAACGGCUUAGAUCUCUCCAGUGGGAAUGUCAGCUGCAAUUUUUGAAAGCUUUAGUUCUUCACCUUGUCUCAAUUUGUUGUGCUUUUCAUGACCAGACAGAAUGCAGGAGACGUUUUGGCCACGUAAGAAGCCUUAAGGUCUUCAGAGGAAGAUGCUAAGGGAAGUGGUGAAAUGACAACUCCUGUCUCUUCUCCUUAAUCCUGUCAGCCUUGGGAUAUCAACAUGGACUGCUGAGAUGGGAGCAUCAUCCUGAUUUGGAGCUCCAGUCCAGGAUCAGCUUCAGCCCGUGUCUCCAACCCUGCAAGAUGCUGGAGCCAGCAUGGCCUUGAAACACACCUGCCCCAGGCCAGCCACUGGGAAAGGGGGCUGGAAGGUGCCUUCAGCCAGGCCUGGAUGCUGAGAGAGGUUUCAGUCUGCAGGGAGGAACAGUGAGGUGUGACAGGGCUGGCUUCGUGCAGCUCAUUACGCUCCCGUCGCUGAUUUCUAAACGGAGUCCUGGCGCUGAGACAGACCAGCUGUGCAAUGAAACAUUUGUGAAUAUCCAGGAAUGA
rnacentral:lncRNA from 1 species